GAUGGACAUCGUUGUAUGCGCAGUUAAAAUCAUGCCCUUGCAAUUUUUGCUAGGCAUGUCAAUGAAACACGUAAAUGUUUUUUGACAUUGAACUUUUAAGUGCCGCAAGCUAUUAUAAAGUGUGGUUAAACUAUACGUUAUUUUCAUAACAAAUUUAUAUUCAAUGAGAUAUCUGGAUUUACAUCCGAUGAUUUUGUAAAGACAGGAACCAUCAGAAUGAGAAUACUGUCAUGUGGUAGUCUGACAUUUGUAUCUUUGUUAUUAGUCUCAGUAUGCUGUUCGCAAAAGUAUCCAGGAAGAAACGAUCAACAUGUCCAACUCGAAAAUAAACAUACAAAU